rnacentral:rRNA from 1 species
GACGAACGCUGGCGGCGUGCUUAACACAUGCAAGUCGAACGGAAAGGCCCUGCUUUUGUGGGGUGCUCGAGUGGCGAACGGGUGAGUAACACGUGAGUAACCUGCCCUUGACUUUGGGAUAACUUCAGGAAACUGGGGCUAAUACCGGAUAGGAGCUCCUGCUGCAUGGUGGGGGGUGGAAAGUUUCGGCGUUUGGGGAUGGACUCGCGGCUUAUCAGCUUGUUGGUGGGGUAGUGGCUUACCAAGGCUUUGACGGGUAGCCGGCCUGAGAGGGUGACCGGCCACAUUGGGACUGAGAUACGGACCAGACUCCUACGGGAGGCAGCAGUGGGGAAUAUUGCACAAUGGGAGGAAGCCUGAUGCAGCAACGCCGCGUGCGGGAUGACGGCCUUCGGGUUGUAAACCGCUUUCGCCUGUGACGAAGCGUGAGUGACGGUAAUGGGUAAAGAAGCACCGGCUAACUACGUG